GCCUCUAUUAGUUGCUAUUCUGUGCCCCUUCUCUCCCUGCAGUAUGACACAGAGCAUAUAGAGGCUCCUAAGAGCUGAGAAACGGAGGUAUUUGUUAUGUCAUCGUCCUCUUCACUGAAGAGCUCUGGCACUUCACAAGAGACAGGCAACUAUCUCAGAGGAUUAGGGCCUUGAGAAGUGAAGAUCAAGUUCUUCCCUUGUGUGAGACUCCAUGCACAUACAGGAGGGGAAAGUUCUGAUUCUACAGAUGACAGUAUACAAGGGGUAAAAGGGCCCACUGUACCAUGAGAUCAACAAGAUUAGAUAUCUUUGUAACCUGCUUACCAGCAGAAUGUGAUAUUGAGGCUGAGACAAGAAGCUAAGAGCAACUGACCUGCAAGAUUAAGGUAACAAAUAAAAUGUCCAAUGGGGCAUCUUUGUUUUAAAAU
rnacentral:lncRNA from 1 species